rnacentral:sRNA from 2 species
AUAUCUCUCUGUACGGGAAGGAUGAGAAGCUUCGACUAAGGUUCGAUUCGAGCGCAGCGAGAAAGCGUUGCCGUAGGCAACGACCCGAAGGACGAAGCGCGCAGCGCUGAGUAAUCCUUCCCCCGUCAUCC